UACGUAGGGUGCGAGCGUUAAUCGGAAUUACUGGGCGUAAAGCGUGCGCAGGCGGUUUUGUAAGCCAGAUGUGAAAUCCCCGGGCUUAACCUGGGAAUGGCAUUUGGGACUGCAAGGCUUGAGUGCGGCAGAGGAGACUGGAAUUCCUGGUGUAGCAGUGAAAUGCGUAGAUAUCAGGAGGAACACCGGCGGCGAAGGCGGGUCUCUGGGCCGUAACUGGCACUGAGGAGCGAAAGCGUGGGGAGCGAACAGG
rnacentral:rRNA from 1 species